rnacentral:rRNA from 1 species
GAAAGUAAGUAAGGGCGUAUGGGGGAUGCCUAGGCUCUUGGAGGCUAAGAAGGACGUGGUAAGCUGCGAAAAGCUGCGGGGAUUUGCAAACGAGACUCGAUCCGCAGAUAUCCGAAUGGGACAACCCGGCAGGUAGAAGACCUGUCACACCGCGAGGUGAGCUAACCCUCUGAACUGAAACAUCUAAGUAGGAGGAGGAAAAGAAAGAAACAUCGAUUUCCAAAGUAGCGGCGAGCGAAAUGGAAGAAGCCCAAACCGAUAUUGUUACGGCAAUAUCGGGGUUGUAGGACUGCAAUAUUCAAUUAACAAUGAACUGGAAUGGUCUGGAAAGUCCAUCCAUAGAGAGUGAAAGGCUCGUACAGGUAAGUUUGUUAUGCGAUAGCAGUAUCCUGAGUAUGGCGGGACACGAGGAAUCCUGUCAGAAUCAGCCGGGACCACCCGGUAAGGCUAAAUACUCCCAAGAGACCGAUAGUGGACCAGUACUGUGAAGGAAAGGUGAAAAGAACCCCGAACAGGGGAGUGAAAUAGAACCUGAAACCAUACGCUUACAACCGGUCGGAGCAGCUUCGUGCUGUGACGGCGUGCCUAUUGAAUAAUGAGCCUACGAGUUACUAAUCACUAGCGAGGUUAAGUGCAAGGAUGCACGGAGCCGAAGCGAAAGCGAGUCUGAACAGGGCGUUUAGUUAGUGGUUGUAGACGCGAAACCUUGCGAUCUACCCUUGAGCAGGUUGAAGGUUGGGUAAAACCAACUGGAGGACCGAACGAAUAAGCGUUGAAAAGCUUCUCGAUGACUUGAGGGUAGGGGUGAAAGGCUAAUCAAGCUGGGAAAUAGCUCGUACUCCCCGAAAUGCCUUUUGGGGCAGCGUUGUAAUAAAGAGUCUACUGGAGGUAGAGCUACUGAUUGGAUGCGGGGGCUUCACCGCCUACCAAAUCCUGACAAACUCCGAAUGCCAGUAGUAUGAUUUACAGCAGUGAGUGACUGGGUGCUAAUGUCCAGUCGCAAAAGAGGAACAACUCAGACCAGCAACUAAGGUCCCGAAGAAUAUGCUAAGUUGAUCUAACGAUGUUUUGUUGCAGAGACAGCUAGGAUGUUAGCUUGGAAGCAGCUAUUCAUUCAAAGAGUGCGUAACAGCUCACUAGUCGAGCGACAGAGCGUGGAUAAUAAACGGGCAUCAAGCAUAUCACCGAAGUUCUGGGCGCGAGAGCGCGGUAGGGGAGCAUUCCAUUCAGCGUCGAAGCAGUUUCGUGAGGAAUUGUGGAGCGUAUGGAAAAGCAAAUGUAGGCAUGAGUAACGAUAAUGCGGGAGAGUAACCCGCACACCGCAAGACCAAGGUUUCCUGAUCAACGCUAAUCGGAUCAGGGUUAGUCGGGUCCUAAGGGUAAGCCGAACGGCGAUCUCGAUGGAUAAUCGGUUAAUAUUCCGAUACUAACAUAUACCUCGAUGGAGAGACGAAGGAACGUAAGUGCCGCCACCUGACGGAAUAGGUGGUUAAAGGGCGUAGGUAUAGGGGCAGAUUAAGAGUUAGUCCUUGCUGAAACCUGACAGUACAGAGAGCCUACGGGCAAUUUGAUAGAGCACCCAAGUCGACUUCCGAGAAAAUCUUCUAAGUUAUAGUAUAUGUUACCCGUACCGUAAACCGACACAGGUGGUCGAGGAGAGUAUCCUAAGGUGCUCGAGUGAAUCACGGUUAAGGAACUAGGCAAAUUAACCCCGUAACUUCGGGAAAAGGGGUCCCUAUGAAAGUAGGGCGCAGCGAAGAGGUCCAGGCGACUGUUUAUCAAAAACACAGGGCUCUGCAAAUUCGAAAGAAGACGUAUAGGGCCUGACACCUGCCCGGUGCUGGAAGGUUAAGAGGGGAUGUCAUCGCAAGAGAAGCAUUGAAUCGAAGCCCCAGUAAACGGCGGCCGUAACUAUAACGGUCCUAAGGUAGCGAAAUUCCUUGUC